UACGUAGGGUGCAAGCGUUGUCCGGAAUUAUUGGGCGUAAAGGGCUCGUAGGCGGUCCAUCGCGUCGGGAGUGAAAAGCUGGGGCUUAACCCCAGUCCUGCUUCCGAUACGGGUGGACUAGAGGUAGGUAGGGGAGAUCGGAAUUCCAGGUGUAGCGGUGAAAUGCGUAGAUAUCUGGAGGAACACCGGUGGCGAAGGCGGCAUCCUGGACCGGUAUUGACGCUGAGGCGCGAAAGCCAGGGGAGCAAACAGG
rnacentral:rRNA from 1 species